AACGGUCCUAAGGUAGCGAAAUUCCUUGUCGGGUAAGUUCCGACCCGCACGAAAGGCGUAACGAUUUGGGCACUGUCUCAACAACAGACUCGGUGAAAUUGUAAUUCCGGUGAAGAUGCCGGAUACCUGCGACAGGACGGAAAGACCCCAUGGAGCUUUACUGUAGCUUGACCUUGGGUCUUGGUACUACAUGUACAGGAUAGGUGGGAGGCUUUGAAACCAGGACGACAGUUUUGGCGGAGCCAUCCUUGGGAUACCACCCUUGUAGUACUGGGACUCUAACCAUAGGCCAUGAAUCUGGUCUUGGGACACUGUCAGGUGGGCAGUUUGACUGGGGCGGUCGCCUCCCAAAAGG
rnacentral:rRNA from 1 species